GGCGGACGGGUGAGUAACGCGUGGGUAACCUGCCCUUUUGUGGGGAACAACUUCGAGAAAUCGGAGCUAAUACCGCAUAAUAAUAGAGGAUCGCAUGAUUCUUUAAGGAAAGAUGGCCUCUGAAGAUGCUAUCGCAAAAGGAUGGACCCGCGUCUGAUUAGCUAGUUGGAAGGGUAACGGCCUACCAAGGCAACGAUCAGUAGCCGGCCUGAGAGGGUGAACGGCCACAUUGGGACUGAGACACGGCCCAAACUCCUACGGGAGGCAGCAGUGGGGAAUCUUCCGCAAUGGGCGAAAGCCUGACGGAGCAAUGCCGCGUGAGUGAAGAAGGCCUUCGGGUUGUAAAACUCUGUCCUUAUCGAAGAGAGGUAGGUAUGUGAAUAAUGUACCUAUAGGACGGUAGAUAAGGAGGAAGCCCCGGCUAACUACGUGCCAGCAGCCGCGGUAAUACGUAGGGGGCGAGCGUUGUCCGGAAUCACUGGGCGUAAAGGGCGCGUAGGCGGUUUAAUAAGUCAGUGGUGAAAACUGAGGGCUCAACCCUCAGCCUGCCACUGAUACUGUUAGACUUGAGUAUGGAAGAGGAGAAUGGAAUUCCUAGUGUAGCGGUGAAAUGCGUAGAUAUUAGGAGGAACACCAGUGGCGAAGGCGAUUCUCUGGGCCAAGACUGACGCUGAGGCGCGAAAGCGUGGGGAGCAAACAGGAUUAGAUACCCUGGUAGUCCACGCCGUAAACGAUGGAUACUAGGUGUUAGU
rnacentral:rRNA from 1 species